CCCGGAGGGGGGAAUGAAAGGGCUUGCAGGUACCCCACAGGAAGGAAUUCCCAAGUGCGCCUUCCUGGGCUCUCAACGGGAUACUGCAAUUGGAUGAUGACAGCAUCUGCCAAUCCAAGGGAAACUUGGGAAAUCUGUAUGUGAAAAUAAAAGUUGCCUCAAAGAAACUUUAAUCUUCUGCAUUUGGAAUUUACUCAGUUCUGCAGAUGACCUACGGAUAAGGGGCUUAAUGAUGAGAACAGAUCAAUGCCAUUUGGUUUUGAAUGUGCAUGGAUGAAGUAAACCUCCAAUGAUUACAGAAAAUGUUUGGGAGAUAAACUGUCAUUUACAUAAAAAUGGCUCAGCAUUCAAGGUCAGAUCCUCAGCUGGUGUAAUUUGGCAUAGCUCCCUGGACUCAUACUAGGAUAGGAAACAAUGAAGAUGGAUCCUGAAUCAUUGUAUUGACUGGGUAUAUGACAUGCUGUGGUAUCUUGGGAGCAAUCUGUGAAGAAUUCAGGUUAUGGUUCCACUGUAUUUCAGUAUCAGUGUUUGUAGCUAUGUCUACUUGACAUAGUAAAUUUCUUUAAAAUGGCAAACAGAACAAAAAUCUGAACAUCAUGAAAAACAAUGUCCUAAAUAUUCCAAUAUUGCCUUUUAUCUUCAAAGAAGCUCAGAAAUACAUUAUAAAGGGAUGGUGACUGUAGAAUCUGGCAGGUAUGAAUUUCAAGCAAUUAUUAUGCAGAUUGAUUGCCCCUAAAAGACCUGACCUUUUCCAAAAAUAUUAGUUUACCUUUUUAGAGAGACCUAAUUACAACAACUAAGUUGAGAAGUUAAAUUCUCUCAAAAUAUCCUCACAAAGAAAUGAGUUUAAUAGUUCAGUUUAAGCACAGAAGGACCUUCAAUCUCCACAAUAUGAAAAUACUAUGGAAUAACACAUUUAUCACAGUGGCCAGCUGUCUGAAGAAUGGUGGCACCAGCCAUGUUUAUCAUCAGAAAGUAUUGCUUUUACCAGUGAUACACUGCUUACCCUAAAACAGAGAAUUUAAUAAUGAAUGCUCCCCAUGAGUUGACUUGAAGAACCUCAGAUUUUUUUUGUCACCUAAAAUCUUUUGGGUCAGUGGGACUGGAAUUAGGUGCAAUGAUGUAGUAAUCUUAAUGCUACCUCGGGUUUAUUCUGUUUACUUGUAAUCAAAAUGGAUUCUUGUAAAUGUCUGAGAUGAAUGAAAAGAUGUAUAGAGCACCAGCA